AUUAAGCGGAGGAAAAGAAACUAACAAGGAUUCCCUUAGUAACGGCGAGUGAAGCGGGAAGAGCUCAGACUUUUAAUCUUCGGAAUUGUAGUCUGUAAAAGCUAGGUUAUCUCUAGUCGUCGGUAAAGUGUCCUGGAACGGACCGCCAAGGAGGGUGAUAGCCCCGUUCAUACCGACGAUGAAGGUGUUCGACCAGCUUUUUAAGAGUCGAGUUGCUUGGGACUGCAGCUCUAAGCGGGUGGUAAAUUCCAUCUAAAGCUAAAUAUUGGUGGGAGACCGAUAGCAAACAAGUACCGUGAGGGAAAGAUGAAAAGAACUUUGAAAAGAGAGUUAAAAAGUACCUGAAAUUGCUGAAAUGGAACCGAUAGGAGGCAGUGUUGGUGUGCGACUUUUUGGGCUAUCCUCGUGAGGAUGGCUCCUUGUGGUCGUGCAUAAGUUAGGCUUGUUUAAUUGCGUGGGAUAGACUUCGGUCGUCAUGCAAUCGAACGACUCUGACGAAAUGCCUCUUAUCAUCCCGUCUUGAAACACGGACCAAGGAGUCUAACAUGUUUGCAAGUGCUCGGAGUUUAUCUCCAAGCGCGGAAUUAAUGUGAAUGUGACCUAGUCACUUAGGUAGGAUGCUUCGGCUGCACUAUCGACCGACCACUGUCCUACGGGUACGAGGUUUGAGUGUGAGCAUACAUGUUGGGACCCGAAAGAUGGUGAACUAUGCUUGAGUAGGACGAAGCCAGGGGAAACUCUGGUGGAGGUCCGCAGCGAUUCUAACGUGCAAAUUGAUCGUCGAACUUGGGUAUAGGGGCGAAAGACUAAUCGAACCAUCUAGUAGCUGGUUCCUCCCGAAAUUUCCCUCAGGAUAGCUGCAACCGAAUAGUUUUAUCAGGUAAAGCGAAUGAUUAGAGGCCUCAGGGGUGGAAUGCUCUUGACCUAUUCUCAAACUUUAAAUGGGUAAGAGCCCGGGGUUGCUUAAUUGAACCCCGCGGUCGAAUGACGGUUGCUAGUGGGCCAAUCUGGGUAAGCUAGAUUGGCGAUGCGGGAUGAACCGAACGUCGAGUUAAAGUGCCAAAGUAUCCGCUAACCUAGAUCCCACAAAAGGUGUUGGUUCAUUAAGACAGCAGGACGGUGGCCAUGGAAGUCGGAAACCGCUAAGGAGUGUGUAACAACUCACCUGCCGAAUGAACUAGCCCUGAAAAUGGAUGGCGCUGAAGCGGAUCACUUAUACUCGACCAACCGUGCAAGUACGAAGCACUGUUGAGUAGGGGGGCGUGGAGCUCGUUGUGCAUUCUGUGGCGUGAGCCGGGAUGAAACGGGUUCUAGUGCAGAUCUUGGUAGCAGUAGCAAAUAUUCAAAUGAGAACUUUGAAGACUGACGUGGAGAAAGGUUCCAUGUGAACAGCAAUUGGACAUGGGUGAGUCGAUCCUAAGAGAUGGGAGAAUUCUGUUUCAAAUGGCCCUUACUUGUAAGGGCCAGCCUAUCGAAAGGGAAUCGGGUUAAUAUUCCCGAACCAGGACGUGGAUAUUGAGUGGCAACWCAAGCGAAAUCGGGGACAUUGGCGGGGGCCCCGGGAAGAGUUCUCUUUUCUUUUUAACAGCCCGAUGGUCCUUGGAAUCGGAUUGACCGGCGAUAAGGAUCAUUGGCUGGAAAAGCAGCAUACUUUUUGUGCUGUCCGGUGCGCUCUCGACGAUCCGUGAAAACCCGGUAGCGUGACUUAUUCGCACCCCUGGUCGUACUCAUAACCGCCUCAGGUCUCCAAGGUGUGCAGCCUCUAGUCAAUAGAACAAUGUAGAUAAGGGAAGUCGGCAAAAUAGAUCCGUAACCUCGGGAUAAGGAUUGGCUCUGAGGGUUGGGCCUAGGGGUCUCAGGAACGAAGGAUGUGGCGGCUAGGAGGGGACUACGACUCACGUUGCGGACCCAGCCCGGCUGCUCUCCCGAGGUCUUGAGAACGUCUUCGGACUUUCCCUAGUGCGUGGAACAACCAACUCAGAACUGGAGCGGACAAGGGGAAUCCGACUGUUUAAUUAAAACAAAGCAUUGCGAUGG
rnacentral:rRNA from 1 species